rnacentral:misc_RNA from 1 species
GUAUGGAUCUCCGCAACCACAGCCAUACAGCGUGCAACCGCCAAUGCCAACCAAAGCAUAAACAAUAAUGAGUGGAUGUCUAGUGUUUAAAAUCGCAUUUUGAACUCAUUACUUUAAAUUUCUCAAAUAGUUAAGUUUUCACAUAUGUAAAAAUCGUUAAUGUUUGUACAUACAAAUGUUUUAAAACCUGAACAAGUAAUGCUUCAUGUUGAUUCAUUUUUUAUAUCUAUAAGCACAUAUUAUGUAUGUUUGAUUUUCAUGUGAAUAGUCCACCUAUUUUUACUGUUGUUUUUAUAUGAUUAUAGACAAACCUUAAAUGAUCAACAGAGUGUUAUUUAUUUGUCAUUUGUAUAUCCUUUAUCUAUCUAGCAUAGUACCUUUUCGUCGGUACAAAAUUCAGAUAGUGCUUUUGAAUACCUUAUCAACUAAAAUAAAACUAUUAUUUGUUCU